UACGUAGGGCCCGAGCGUUGUCCGGGUUCAUUGGGCGUAAAGAGCUCGUAGGCGGUUUCGUAAGUCGGAUGUGAAAACUCAGGGCUCAACCCGGAGACGCCAUCCGAUACUGCGAUGACUUGAGUCUGGUAGGGGAUCACGGAAUACCUGGUGUAGCGGUGAAAUGCGCAGAUAUCAGGUGGAACACCGGUGGCGAAGGCGGUGAUCUGGGCCAGUACUGACGCUGAGGAGCGAAAGCGUGGGGAGCAAACAGG
rnacentral:rRNA from 1 species